rnacentral:lncRNA from 1 species
CUGUUGUCAAUUAUGGAAAUUUAAACUUUUAAAGCUGUGUAGCAAGUUUGGAUGGUUGUCAGUUAUGGGAAUUUAAGCUUUUAAACUACAGAGUUCUUUAGAUUGAAAAUCCACACCAUUUGAAAGAAAGUUGGUUCAUUCAGUCUUCUCUACUAAAAAUAUUUUUCUAAAGAAAGGUUUGUUGCAAGGUUCUUUAUGUAUCUAUUCUGCCAAGAUGCUAUAUUGGUCUUUGCCAUUAAGCAUGUGAUUAACUGGUACUUCCUGCUUGGAAAUAUGACUAAAUUGUUAGCAAUUUAUCACUCUGAGGAAUAUAAGAUGGUAUCAGUUAAUAAG